AGAAGACAUACCAUCAAAAUUAAUCAUUUAUGUGAAAAUUUUGCCUUUAGUCUUUACCUGAGAAGUUAAGCAGAGUAUUUGCAACUGCAUCCUGCUGUACUAACUUUAUCGAUUGUGAAACUUGACUCCAUCUAUCAGUAAUUGUGCUACUGUAAUUGUUGUUCAACUCUGAUUUGCGGAGGCCAUGAGACUUUUUAUUCGUCCAACUUUGUUAGCAUGGAAUCUGGCAUAGAAGUGCUAUACAAUUAGUUAUACAGAUGAAGAUGUUUUGCUCCAUCAACCAAAAGUACAAAAUCUAGUGUAA
rnacentral:misc_RNA from 1 species